rnacentral:rRNA from 1 species
UACAGAGGGUGCAAGCGUUAAUCGGAAUUACCGGGCGUAAAGCGCGCGUAGGUGGUUUGUUAAGUUGGAUGUGAAAUCCCCGGGCUCAACCUGGGAACUGCAUUCAAAACUGACUGACUAGAGUAUGGUAGAGGGUGGUGGAAUUUCCUGUGUAGCGGUGAAAUGCGUAGAUAUAGGAAGGAACACCAGUGGCGAAGGCGACCACCUGGACUAAUACUGACACUGAGGUGCGAAAGCGUGGGGAGCAAACAGG